rnacentral:rRNA from 1 species
GACGAACGCUGGCGGCGUGGCUAAUACAUGCAAGUAGAACGCUGAAGCGAGGAGCUUACUCUUCUUGGAUGAGUUGCGAACGGGUGAGUAACGCGUAGGUAACCUGCCUUGUAGCGGGGGAUAACUAUUGGAAACGAUAGCUAAUACCGCAUAACAAUGGAUGACACAUGUCAUUUAUUUGAAAGGGGCAAUUGCUCCACUACAAGAUGGACCUGCGUUGUAUUAGCUAGUAGGUGAGGUAAUGGCUCACCUAGGCGACGAUACAUAGCCGACCUGAGAGGGUGAUCGGCCGCACUGGGACUGAGACACGGCCCAGACUCCUACGGGAGGCAGCAGUAGGGAAUCUUCGGCAAUGGGGGCAACCCUGACCGAGCAACGCCGCGUGAGUGAAGAAGGUUUUCGGAUCGUAAAGCUCUGUUGUAAGUCAAGAACGGGUGUGAGAGUGGAAAGUUCACACUGUGACGGUAGCUUACCAGAAAGGGACGGCUAACUACGUG